CCUACGGGAGGCAGCAGUGAGGAAUAUUGGUCAAUGGACGAGAGUCUGAACCAGCCAAGUAGCGUGAAGGAUGACUGCCCUAUGGGUUGUAAACUUCUUUUAUAUGGGAAUAAAACGUUCCACGUGUGGGAUUUUGUAUGUACCAUAUGAAUAAGGAUCGGCUAACUCCGUGCCAGCAGCCGCGGUAAUACGGAGGAUCCGAGCGUUAUCCGGAUUUAUUGGGUUUAAAGGGAGCGUAGGUGGAUUGUUAAGUCAGUUGUGAAAGUUUGCGGCUUAACCGUAAAAUUGCAGUUGAAACUGGCAGUCUUGAGUACAGGAGAGGUGGGCGGAAGUCGUGGUGUAGCGGUGAAAUGCUUAGAUAUCACGAAGAACUCCGAUUGCGAAGGCAGUUCACUGGACUGCAACUGACACUGAGGCUCGAAAGUGUGGGUAUCAAACAGGAUUAGAUACCCGUGUAGUC
rnacentral:rRNA from 1 species